UGCAGUCGAGCGGACAGAAGGGAGCUUGCUCCCGGAUGUUAGCGGCGGACGGGUGAGUAACACGUGGGUAACCUGCCUGUAAGACUGGGAUAACUCCGGGAAACCGGAGCUAAUACCGGAUAGUUCCUUGAACCGCAUGGUUCAAGGAUGAAAGACGGUUUCGGCUGUCACUUACAGAUGGACCCGCGGCGCAUUAGCUAGUUGGUGAGGUAACGGCUCACCAAGGCGACGAUGCGUAGCCGACCUGAGAGGGUGAUCGGCCACACUGGGACUGAGACACGGCCCAGACUCCUACGGGAGGCAGCAGUAGGGAAUCUUCCGCAAUGGACGAAAGUCUGACGGAGCAACGCCGCGUGAGUGAUGAAGGUUUUCGGAUCGUAAAGCUCUGUUGUUAGGGAAGAACAAGUGCAAGAGUAACUGCUUGCACCUUGACGGUACCUAACCAGAAAGCCACGGCUAACUACGUGCCAGCAGCCGCGGUAAUACGUAGGUGGCAAGCGUUGUCCGGAAUUAUUGGGCGUAAAGGGCUCGCAGGCGGUUUCUUAAGUCUGAUGUGAAAGCCCCCGGCUCAACCGGGGAGGGUCAUUGGAAACUGGGAAACUUGAGUGCAGAAGAGGAGAGUGGAAUUCCACGUGUAGCGGUGAAAUGCGUAGAGAUGUGGAGGAACACCAGUGGCGAAGGCGACUCUCUGGUCUGUAACUGACGCUGAGGAGCGAAAGCGUGGGGAGCGAACAGGAUUAGAUACCCUGGUAGUCCACGCCGUAAACGAUGAGUGCUAAGUGUUAGGGGGUUUCCGCCCCUUAGUGCUGCAGCUAACGCAUUAAGCACUCCGCCUGGGGAGUACGGUCGCAAGACUGAAACUCAAAGGAAUUGACGGGGGCCCGCACAAGCGGUGGAGCAUGUGGUUUAAUUCGAAGCAACGCGAAGAACCUUACCAGGUCUUGACAUCCUCUGACAACCCUAGAGAUAGGGCUUUCCCUUCGGGGACAGAGUGACAGGUGGUGCAUGGUUGUCGUCAGCUCGUGUCGUGAGAUGUUGGGUUAAGUCCCGCAACGAGCGCAACCCUUGAUCUUAGUUGCCAGCAUUCAGUUGGGCACUCUAAGGUGACUGCCGGUGACAAACCGGAGGAAGGUGGGGAUGACGUCAAAUCAAGGUGACUGCCGGUGACAAACCGGAGGAAGGUGGGGAUGACGUCAAAUCAUCAUGCCCCUUAUGACCUGGGCUACACACGUGCUACAAUGGACAGAACAAAGGGCUGCGAGACCGCAAGGUUUAGCCAAUCCCACAAAUCUGUUCUCAGUUCGGAUCGCAGUCUGCAACUCGACUGCGUGAAGCUGGAAUCGCUAGUAAUCGCGGAU
rnacentral:rRNA from 1 species